CUUCUUUAUUUGUCAUCAAUUUGUUAGCACAUACAUUUUGUUUUACAGAUAUCCAAAGGCAUAAGGAAACACAGAUACUGGACACAAAUUUGCAUUACUAGUUGUAAGAAUAGAAGAUAAAGAAAAUUUACUUUAAAAGAAUCUACAUUCGGGGAUUAGCGGUCCUGCUCAAAACAACUGCAAUUCCCUCAAUCCCUAGCUUUCAAAGGCUAUGAAUGUAGUAGUUUUAUAUCCCUGUCUACAAUGUGAUAUGUCAAGUGCAUUCAGUAAUAAAACAUGUAAUUUGACAGGUAGACUGCCAGUGCUGGAGACAUGACAUGUAAAUGCAUAUAUAUAACGGACAGGUUUCCUGUUGUGCCAUUUGGGACUUUGUUCUAAGAAAAUACAAGGCUCUAAAGCAGUCUUUUAAAAUAUGUAGACAAUUGCUAUGAGAUUUAUUAACUAUAAACCGUUAUUUGUAGCGAGUUAAAGGCAAUGCAUGGCCAAUUCGGAAUAAAUCUCAGAUGCCAACUCACUGUUUAAUAACGUAUGCCAAGUGUUCACUACUAAGUGUGUGUAUAUAUAUAUUUACAAUAAGCAUUUUAAAAAAUAUAUAUAUUUUUCCAAUUAAUGAUUUAUUUGCUGUAAACUGAUUGUUCGCUGACACGUGAACCUAUCUAUCAUCCAAUACUUUUUAGUAUAAUUUUCCAAUUUUUUUGUUCUUUUAUUUUAUUAUGUACAACUCUGUUUUGUAU